GACGAACGCUGGUGGCGUGCUUAACACAUGCAAGUCGAACGGUAAGGCCCUUCGGGGUACACGAGUGGCGAACGGGUGAGUAACACGUGGGUGAUCUGCCCUGCACUUCGGGAUAAGCCUGGGAAACUGGGUCUAAUACCGGAUAGGACCUCUGCCCGCAUGGGUGGUGGUGGAAAGCUUUUGCGGUGUGGGAUGGGCCCGCGGCCUAUCAGCUUGGUGGUGGGGUAAUGGCCUACCAAGGCGACGACGGGUGGCCGGCCUGAGAGGGUGACCGGUCACAGUGGGACUGAGAUACGGCCCAGACUCCUACGGGAGGCAGCAGUGGGGAAUAUUGCACAAUGGGCGCAAGCCUGAUGUAGCGACGCCGCGUGAGGGAUGACGGCCUUCGGGUUGUAAACCUCUUUCAGCUAUGACGAAGCGCAAGUGACGGUAGUAGCAGAAGAAGGACCGGCCAACUACGUGCCAGCCGCCGCCGUAG
rnacentral:rRNA from 1 species